UACGUAGGGUGCAAGCGUUGUCCGGAUUAUUGGGCGUAAAGAGCUCGUAGGCGGUUUGGCAAGUCGGGUGUGAAACCUCCAGGCUCAACCCUGGAAUGCCGGUGGAUACUGUCGGGCUAGAGUCCGGAAGGGGCGAGUGGAAUUCCUGGUGUAGCGGUGAAAUGCGCAGAUAUCAGGAGGAACACCAAUGGCGAAGGCAGCUCGCUGGGACGUGACUGACGCUGAGAGCGCGAAAGCGUGGGGAGCAAACAGG
rnacentral:rRNA from 1 species